UUUACCAUUGUUGAAUCUGCAGGAUUAUCCACAAGUCACAAGUCACUCUGCGAACCUGCUGGUUCUGACCUCAUUGUCCGACGAUGACUGCAGUGAUAAAAUGAACUACAGCAGAAUGGAAAGUGGAAGUAGAUAAGAUGUCAUAAGGAAAAAGGUACAACAAUUUCACAAGGAAGGAGGGGUUCAUUGAUUUCAGAUUGUUUUUUGAAAAAUUAGAAGUAUGAGUUUACUUGACACGGAAUACUUUAGGAUGAUGAAUAAAUGCAACUCUAAGGAAAAUUCAUAAGCAUUAUUGAGUAAACACGAGUUCUUUUCCAUGU